UGGGGAAUAUUGCGCAAUGGGCGAAAGCCUGACGCAGCGACGCCGCGUGAGGGAUGAAGGUUUUCGGAUCGUAAACCUCUGUCAGAAGGGAAGAAACCGCACUGUGCUAAUCAGCAGUGCCUUGACGGUACCUUCAAAGGAAGCACCGGCUAACUCCGUGCCAGCAGCCGCGGUAAUACGGAGGGUGCAAGCGUUAAUCGGAAGUACUGGGCGUAAAGCGCACGUAGGCUGCUUUGUAAGUCAGGGGUGAAAUCCCACGGCUCAACCGUAGAACUGCCAUUGAUACUACUUAGCUUGAGUCCGGGAGAGGGUGGCGGAAUUCCAGGUGUAGGAGUGAAAUCCGUAGAUAUCUGGAAGAACAUCAAUGGCGAAGGCGGCCACCUGGGCCAGUAUUGACACUGAGGUGCGAAAGCGAGGGGAGCAAACAGG
rnacentral:rRNA from 1 species